rnacentral:rRNA from 1 species
ACGAACGCUGGCGGCGUGCCUAAUACAUGCAAGUAGAACGCACAGUUUAUACCGUAGCUUGCUACACCAUAGACUGUGAGUUGCGAACGGGUGAGUAACGCGUAGGUAACCUGCCUGGUAGCGGGGGAUAACUAUUGGAAACGAUAGCUAAUACCGCAUAAUAUUAAUUAUUGCAUGAUAAUUAAUUGAAAGGUGCAAUUGCACCACUACCAGAUGGACCUGCGUUGUAUUAGCUAGUAGGUGAGGUAACGGCUCACCUAGGCGACGAUACAUAGCCGACCUGAGAGGGUGAUCGGCAACACUGGGACGGAGACACGGCCCAGACUCCUACGGGAGGCAGCAGUAGGGAAUCUUCGGCAAUGGACGAAAGUCUGACCGAGCAACGCCGCGUGAGUGAAGAAGGUUGUCGGAUCGUAAAGCUCUGUUGUAAGAGAAGAACGGGUGUGAGAGUGGAAAGUUCACACUGUGACGGUAUCUUAACAGAAAGGGACGGCUAACUACGUG